GUGAGGAAUAUUGCACAAUAGGCGCAAGCCUGAUGCAGCAACGCCGCGUGGACGAUGAAGGCCUUCGGGUUGUAAAGUCCUUUUCUGGGGGAAGACAUGGACGGUACCCCAGGAAUAAGUGUCGGCUAACUACGUGCCAGCAGCCGCGGUAAAACGUAGGACGCGAGCGUUAUCCGGAUUUACUGGGCGUAAAGCGCGUGCAGGCGGUCUGUUAAGUCGUGCGUGAAAGCUCCCUGGCUCAACCGGGAGAGGUGGGACGAAACUAGCAGGCUUGAGGGCAGCAGAGGAGUGUGGAAUUCCGGGUGUAGUGGUGAAAUGCGUAGAUAUCCGGAGGAACACCAGUGGCGAAGGCGACACUCUGGGCUGUACCUGACGCUAAGACGCGAAAGCAUGGGUAGCGAACGGGAUUAGAUACCCGAGUAGUCC
rnacentral:rRNA from 1 species